AGUAACACGUGGAUAACCUACCUAUAAGACUGGGAUAACUUCGGUAAACCGGAGCUAAUACCGGAUAAUAUUUUGAACCGCAUGGUUCAAAAGUGAAAGACGGUCUUGCUGUCACUUAUAGAUGGAUCCGCGCUGCAUUAGCUAGUUGGUAAGGUAACGGCUCACCAAGGCAACGAUGCAUAGCCGACCUGAGAGGGGGAUCGGCCACACUGGAACUGAGACACGGUCCAG
rnacentral:rRNA from 1 species